CAGUCCCGUGUGGUACAUACACUGACACGGAAGACAAUCACCCACAAACAAACGGAAUACAGCAGUAUCUCCAUAUGUGGCAUGGAGCCAAGAACCUGGGCAAGAAAAUCCAUGCAGUGAGUAUGUAAUGAUAGAUAUUACAGUAUCUUUGUUUUGUUUUAUAAUGUGAAGAUGUUGCUCCAGUGUUGGAAUUACAUAACUAGACAGCACAGAUUAAAGGUACAUUCAAUGCAAAAUUUUGAGGACGAGAUUGGAAUCUGGUGGCGGGGAUGCCAAGGAAAAGAACCCUAAGGCCCGAAGACCCAACCCCCUAUUCAUCCACCCAACAACUGAGGWACUUGUGCAAUCACAMGUGAGAAGAGGCUUAGGGUUGUGUGAACCUCGAGACCAUGCAGGAGUACAACCUCCUCCUCCAACCCUGUGAGAAACCCAGGUAAUAACCCACAUACAUACAAACUGUUUUACACCAAGUACAUUACAAUAACCRAAUUUGAAAGAAGCAGUUUCAUUUAGUUUUUGCCCUACAGAAUUCUUUGCCCCACAUAGUAACAAUUCUAUUUUUUCUGACUUCUGUUGGAAUACAUCAAGAUUGACAGUGAAGGCCCUGAUGGACCAAGACCCCUGUGAAGCCUCCACUAUCAAGCAACUAACAGGAGACGUCCCUGCCUUCCUCCCAGUCCCGACCCCAAAACUGAUGCAGCRCUUUCUCCAUGUACCAGGCCACACACMGAGACUGAUGACAGGAACACACACAUGGACAGCUUAAACUCUAUGGCUGACUGGCRWAGUGAAGGAAUGGGAUGAAAUUAGGAUUGAUAUUGAUAUCCUUAGGCUGUGCAGWGGGCCUACAGUGCCAGACCAUUUUCUUAGGUUUACUUUGCUCUGUAAACAUGGCCUUACUUUUGAGAGUACUUUACUUCAUUAAAAAGGCCCACCGUUGUCACGUGA